AGUGGUAAAGCUGCCAUUUUCCAGAGCAUUUUCUCAAUCCCUUGAGAUUUUUCUUCCUGGCAAUUGUCAUCAGUUUGGCUCAAAUACACUCAUAAAGAUUCUUACAGGUAUGGACGUUUCUUACAUGGAUGGCAAGGAAGAAGAAUAAAGUGCUUCC